CUUCCUUUCUCGAAAGCACUGCGAAGGCUGCCGGCAGCGUGGUUGUUCCUUUCGCGAGUUGGUGUCUGGCGCACAGCGCGAACGUCUCAUGAGCAAGAAGCCGUAGAGACGAUGCUCUCAAUGUUGGACACCGAAGUGAGGCAACUCAUCGGGCACAACGUCAAAAUGUCCCUGUUGUGUCCUGGCCCUGGGUCACGCGUGUCGCGCCUUGACAGCCGUGACCUUGAACGACCUUGACCGGCCGGGCCGGGCCGAGCGGCCGAGGGUCAGUAUCGUCCGAGCGGCGCUGGUGUCAACACAGCUGAGUGCCGCGAGGUGAGGUGAGGCGUGUUCGCCGAGACGGUCCGGCCACAGUGAAAUAGUGUAAUAGUGGUGUAAUCGAUAAUAUGCGUGGCCAGUACGCGAGUGAGAUUGACCCUGUGCGCGACACCGAUUCAGAGACGCACAUAAGUUAACACCGUCGUGUCGGAUUGCUCGUACCGGUGAUGGGAGACAACGAGCAGCUGGAGCGUCUGAUGGCGCUCAUGGUUCAGCAGUCAGCAGGCUGCCAUGCUGGAGUAGCUCCUCCCCAGCCAGAUGCAGCUACCAGCUGCGCAAACUGUCUAGAGCGGCCAACCGGCUGUCGUCGCCUCCGCCGCUCCUAUGGCUAGACUUCGGUCUCGCAUGGACUGCCGUCGGUAGUGUUCACAUGCCAGCCCAUACAUUUUACCUGUAUUAACUUUUUAAUGUCUGUGCCUGUGUAACUAUUGUACGUGCCUGUACUUAACAGUGUUUGAAUUGUACAUCGUUCGCACAGUCUGUGGACCGUGAGGAACGCCGCUUGACAUGCAUUUUUGCACUUACCUGCAUUCCGUGUUAAAAGUAAAGUAAAGGGACUGAGCUGUCGUGCACCGGGAGAUAUUAUGGUCUCUUGCUAAACGACUCAGUUGAAACUCAGCACGCCGGUCGGUACUGACUGGGGCGGCACGCGAAAGGGUUUGGGCAGCUUUUGAAACAAAAUGUUCGCAUCGAAUGACUGCAUCGCAUGU
rnacentral:lncRNA from 1 species